UAAACCGGGAUUAGAUACCCCGCUAUAUAGGGGGGGUUUGAAGGGGGGGUAGUAACGGCUAUGGUCCCCAAACCCAAAGAACUUGGCGGCAGCCUACCCAACUAGAGGAACCUGCCCCAUAACCGAUACCACCCGUUAACCCAACCCCCUAUAUGUUUGUAUACCGCCGUCUAACCUUUAACUACUAGGUUAAGGUGGAAUGGUCCCCCAUUAAGACAGGUCGAGGUGCAGCGCAUUGGGGGGAGGAGGUGGGUUACAGUCCCCAUGGGGCGGACCUUCUUUUUAUAGGGAAGGCUAAGAUGGAUUUAGAGGUAGCGUGGGGUCAAUACCCCCACGUGAAUUGGAUUUAGGCCGUGUACAUAUCGCCCGUCACUCUCAAUAAAUUUGAGAU
rnacentral:rRNA from 1 species